CCCCAUUAUGUGAUCCAUAAGAAACACUUUUAGAACAAAAAUAACGUACAUUUAAUGUCUGAAAUCAUGGAAUUGUUAUUCUACCCAUUUAUGGUUAUGGGGUUAUAAAUAUAAACAUUGAGGUCCCUAAGCUUACUCACACAUUCAACAACCAAUACCACAAAGGAGUGAGAGAAAGAGCUUAUAAGAAUCUCGAAACAACUUGUCGGAGUCGAAGUUUUAAAACUCCUUGGUAAAUAGAACAAUGGCUGGAGGUGGAUUAAUGGUGUGUGAGAGGGAACAUUAAUAUGUACAGGAGGAAGGAUCAUGUCAUUGCAUAUAUGAAGGCUCGAAGCUUCCAUCACUAUCAGAUGCAGGGAUAUAAGUGAUGUAAUCACUUUGUCUGGUUUGAUGAAGAAAUGUCUCCAAGAGCUAAGGAAUUAAUAUCGUUUAUGCACGAAAAGUUAAAACAAGAAAAGGUCAAUGUGAAUGAUGCCAAAUUCAAAGAGGAGUAACUGAAUUUGAAGAUUAAGUUUUUAAAGAUGAUGAUUAAGUUUACUAUGGUAAUGGCAUUUCUAUUAUUAAUUAGAUUAGUUAUAUCAAGUGUAAUCAAUUAAUUAAUUAGGUUUAGUUGAUUAUGUUUAGUUGACUAGUUUAAGUUGAUUAGGUUUGGUUUAGUAGGUUUAGUUGUUCCAUUUUGUUGUUGAAUGAAUGAAAUAUAAUGUUUCAUAUAAUUGUUGAAUGAAAAUGAAGCAUUUUGACUAAUAAA